rnacentral:rRNA from 1 species
GGAUUCCCCUAGUAACUGCGAGUGAAGCGGGAAAAGCUCAAAUUUAAAAUCUGGCAGUCUUUGGCUGUCCGAGUUGUAGUCUGGAGAAGCGUUUUCCGCGCUGGACCGUGUACAAGUCUCCUGGAACGGAGCGUCAUAGAGGGUGAGAAUCCCGUCUUUGACACGGACUACCAGUGCUUUGUGAUGCGCUCUCAAAGAGUCGAGUUGUUUGGGAAUGCAGCUCAAAAUGGGUGGUAAACUCCAUCUAAAGCUAAAUAUUGGCGAGAGACCGAUAGCGAACAAGUACCGUGAGGGAAAGAUGAAAAGCACUUUGGAAAGAGAGUUAAACAGUACGUGAAAUUGCUGAAAGGGAAACGCUUGAAGUCAGUCGCGUUUGCUAGAACUCAGCCUGGCUUUUGCUUGGUGCAUUUUCUAGUAGACGGGCCAGCAUCACUUUUGUUUGCGGGAUAAAGGUCAGAGGAAUGUGGCACCUUCGGGUGUGUUAUAGCCUCUGGUUGUAUACCGUGGAUGGGAGUGAGGAACUCAGCACGCCUUAUGGCGGGGCUUCGGCCACCUUCGUGCUUAGGAUGCUGGCGUAAUGGCUUUAAACGACCCGUCUUGAAACACGGACCAAGGAGUCUAACAUGCCUGCGAGUGUUUGGGUGGAAAACCCGAGCGCGUAAUGAAAGUGAAAGUUGGGACCUCUGUCGUGGAGGGCACCGACGCCCGGACCAGACCUUUUGUGACGGAUCCGCGGUAGAGCAUGUAUGUUGGGACCCGAAAGAUGGUGAACUAUGCCUGAAUAGGGUGAAGCCAGAGGAAACUCUGGUGGAGGCUCGUAGCGAUUCUGACGUGCAAAUCGAUCGUCAAAUUUGGGUAUAGGGGCGAAAGACUAAUCGAACCAUCUAGUAGCUGGUUCCUGCCGA